ACAGAGGAAGAAAACGCAUGACAAAACAUGUUGCUUACACUUUAAUUUGGAAUUUCUUUUUGAUCAUGUACUCUCUGCAUCUCUAUCGCAUCUAUUUUUUUUUCCCUCCUUGAAUGUAAAUGAGCUGUUUCAUUUAGAGGAGAAAAGUAUCUUUAAUGUAAGAUUGCGGACCGAAAGAGAUAUCUAUCGCUUACCGUUUUUAAUGAUGAUGACGAUGACGAUGAUGCUGUUGCUUCGGGCUUUUUUUUCGGGCACUGCGAUAACAACUCCUGAGAUGCGACGUUGUAUCGUCGAUAAAUGAGGAAGCGCUAAUGAUCCGGCUGACAUCGCACGAGGGUCGCGAGGAAUUUCGUCCCGACGAUGAUUCUUCCCGUGUUAUUCGAUCUCGGAAACAAUGUCAGAAGCAGAAUGCUUUACGUUUUAUCAGAAUAAACUGGCGAUAGUAAUCACGGUA